AGUGAACGCUGGCGGUAGGCCUAACACAUGCAAGUCGAACGGCAGCACAGUAAGAGCUUGCUCUUACGGGUGGCGAGUGGCGGACGGGUGAGGAAUACAUCGGAAUCUACUUUUUCGUGGGGGAUAACGUAGGGAAACUUACGCUAAUACCGCAUACGACCUACGGGUGAAAGCAGGGGAUCUUCGGACCUUGCGCGAUUGAAUGAGCCGAUGUCGGAUUAGCUAGUUGGCGGGGUAAAGGCCCACCAAGGCGACGAUCCGUAGCUGGUCUGGGAGGAUGAUCAGCCACACUGGAACUGAGACACGGUCCAGACUCCUACGGGAGGCAGCAGUGGGGAAUAUUGGACAAUGGGGGCAAGCCUGAUCCAGCCAUACCGCGUGGGUGAAGAAGGCCUUCGGGUUGUAAAGCCCUUUUGUCGGGAAAGAAAAGCAGCAGGUUAAUACGACGCCGUUCUGACGGUACCCAAAGAAUAAGCACCGGCUAACUUCGUG
rnacentral:rRNA from 1 species